CUCAAACAUUAUUAGCCUUUACACCAGGCAAUAUGUUUCGAUUAGCCACUUUAUUUUUACUCAACUACAUUUUAUUCGUUGGAGGAUUAGUGAAGCAUAUUGCAGACUUGACUGGGUUUGAUGAAUUUGAUGAUAAUGAUUUGAGUUCAGUUAAAAUUCAACCUACGUAUGAGAUAGGGGUGGAAAAGACACCGCUCUGGGUUUUGGAUUUGAAUACUGAGGAUUUGAACGCGUUAAAGCUGAGGAUUGGGAGUCAAAAGGAGGACGAAGAGUUCGAGUAUGCAGUGGGAGAUAGCAUCAGGAAAUUGGAAAGAUUCGAAAAGUUAUCAAAUCCAAGGGUGAAAAAAGACGAUCCGAUGAAAAAUAGCGAAGAUGUAUCGGACUACGAAUCGGAAGAUGCUAAAAAGGACAACGAAAGGCUGCAAAGUGAGAUCACCAAAGUUGUGAAUAAGUUUAUUUUGUCCACGAAUGAACCCAGCGACUCGGUGACUGAAGAUGAACCCUCCCUUUCCCUUUACUUCAAAGGGCCCUACACCUCGUUAACCAUCAGAUCGGGCCGCAUCCAACGACACUACUUCCUCCGACCGCCCUCCCCUCUCCCUGCUUGGUUCAACGCCCCCCACCAAACUGGUGGGGAUGUGGCAAUACCAAUUUCACUAAGGAACCCCUUCUACGUAGCUCUGUUGCAUUUGCUACAAAUGUUUUUGGGAUAUCCUAUAUAAAAAUACAGAUUGAAAGUUCGUACACACAGUAAUUUUGCUAGACCUUAUACAAUAGUGUUUAAGCGUGAAGUAGGUAAAUUAAUGAAGUAAACCUAUUAAUGUAACAUAAUUUCUUCAUUAAACUAGUUCUCUAAAAGUUGAUUUCGCUAUCCCUUUCUGUCAAAUGAUGAUUUUAAUGUGUUAAAAAGAGGUUGUUUUAGUUCCUUGUUGGAUUAAAUAUUUUUGGUAUAGCCCGACCAGGAACAUAAAAACCCUCGCCAUGUUGCGGAAAAAUAAUGGUACUAAUUUCUUUUAAUGGCAACAGUAACUGAAAACUUCAUUGACAUGUCACCUUGCAUGUCAGUCUAUUGCUGUCAAAGUAUAAACAAACUUUAUUUUAAAUGUGGGCAAUUAAUUUUGUGAAUUAAAUUGCUAAAAUCUUUUUAUAGUCGUGAAAGAAAAGUGGUUCACAAUGUGUUAAAGUAUUUGUCGAAGAGAAAUACUAAGGGUUCGGACAAUAUUUUCAUUGAAUAAUGUUUCCGACAAAGGUUGUCAAAUUGACUGACAUGUUUAUCGUAUAGUACAGUCCACUAUGAAAAUUAGCUGUGGUUUGUUUCAACUACCUAUUUUAAAAUUUUUUGUCACUUUCUAUUUCAAAUUGGGAAAGAAGUACCGAGUUUGAAGCGUUCAUGAGCAGACAUUGCAGUUGAAUAUUCAAGUUCUGAAUUUGAUUAUUGAUGAAUAAUAAAAUAAAUCCUACUAGCUCGAUUGAUGGUUUCAUUUAAUUUAUUUAAACCAGGUUACCUAUAAUAAUAUUUUUUCGUUAAUUUAUGAAAAUAUCAAAUUAGCCCGUAAUCCUGAAUCCUGAUACAUAAAGUUAGCCUAAUAAUUUAACCCGGCGCCAAUGACGUGAAAAUAAUUGCAAAGACGAUGACCCCGGGUCAUAUUGACCCACAUUUCAUCGAUCAUUUUUCAGGAAAUUGUACAAGUAAUCUUAAUUUUAAUUAAUAUAGGGUUCUUUACUGAGCUAAUAAAACAAAAAUAAAACGAAUACAUGAAACGAAUAUUUUUUUUACGACUUUUUAAACAAAACAUGAAAAAAUCAUGUAAAGAAACACAUUUGAGUCUAUAUUUUUUGUUUUUGGUAAAGAUUUUUAGUAUUAAUAGGAAUCAACAAUGUUAUAUAGUAAAAAAGAGAUAAAAUCAACUUUUUAUAUGCAGAUACAAUGAGAUCAGUCUUCUACUUCAUCAUUCAGAGCCAUGGAACUGCUGCAACUGGUGCAGUAUGUAAUCAAAUGGUCUGGGCAUGUUAAUGUGGCAUGACGCACUUGCCGGCGUCGUACUAAUGCAAGUUCGAGAUUAUCCGAAGACUGAGUCCCCAUUUCUUGCGUCUUUUUCACAUUCGUGGCCAUUUCUAAGUUCUGGCUAUUACAGCCUGAAAUUCUUCAAUCUCGGAAUCCGACUCUUCCAGUAACGCUACAUUCUUGCUGGGUCAUUUAACAAAGACAUUUUGACUAAAACUUAAAAAAGAACGACAUAAGCUAGCACUAAACACAAAAUAAGCGAAUAAAAGUAAGUCACAAAAUCACCGCGCCACCGAUGACGCCGGGUCAUAAUGACCCGUUUUAAUUUGAAGCCUGUGUAUCUCGCUACGCAAGCGGAGUCACAAUACGUUAACUAACGGAUUGGAUUUAGGGAGGUUCUAACUCCAGCUAUACGAACGCUUGAACCACAAAAUGGACGCAAAAAACAAUUAUGAACGUUUGAAAAUGCCUCGGGUCAAUAUGACCCAGCGUCAUUGACGCCGGGUUAACACAGGUACGACUGUACUCAGUGUUGCACUAUCAAAUGCAAUUGACGCGCCUCUAUGCCAGGGUUUUUAUGUUCCUGGUCAGGCUAUACUAUUAAAAUGUAAUUUUAACUCAUUGGUUUUGUCUCAUAUUUGAGGAAUGUACUAUGUAUCAUGAGUAGAGUCUUCGUUUAAAAGGAUGCAAACGAUUUAAAUUUCAAUAGGUAGACAAAAUUGAUAAUUCUUAAUUAUCAAAAAUUCUAGCUUUCUCCAGUAACACUGAUAUUAUUAUACUGUGACUCAUCAAAGUCAUCAUUGUCAAAAAUAUUGACAAAUCGCGAACUGUCACGGCCAAAAAACUGACACGCGUCCGUCCUCCGUAAGUGCCACCGCGCGACUGAUUGAGAUUGUCCAAGCCGUCAUGGACGAUUUUUUCCACAUUUUUUAACAUAGUAACUGAAUAAGACGCAAUAUAAAAAUUUCAUCCGUUAAAAGCCCUCAAAUUAUUGCUGAACUUUAGUUUAGUAAAAGAUUUAGAAUCUCAAAUCGCUUAUUUUAAAAAUAAAACCAUAAAUAGAAAACGAACAGAGGUAACUUUGGGAAUUUAUUCUAUCGAGUCAACUUCAUCAAAUCGUGUUUCCAUCCGUUAAUAGCCCUAGAAAAUAUCCUCAACUAUGCCCAAUAAAAAUCUUAGCCUUUAAUUUUACUGUUUAGUACCUCAAAAAUGAUAAAUGAAAACCUCAUUUUCGCCAUUUUCUCUGCUACCCGGCCUUAAUUUUGAUUGGUGGCGUGCCAUAAAUAUUGUGGCGCGUGCCAUCCAUCAAUGGCUCGCAUGCCAUUGGUUCGCCAUCCCUGCGCUAUAGCUACCUAGCACUUGCUAAUUAUGCAUGACGUCAGCGCGGUGACAUCUUUGCUUGUGUUUGUCGCCUCAACUCUCGCUGCGCGACCUAUAAUUUUGGUCCUCUGUGGGCAUUAUUUGAUAAAGUAUAUUUGUUGGAUAAAAAGGGACCUCCUGGAUAGUCUAUCGCCUGCGCAGGUCUAAAGCGAGUAGAACGCUGUGCCUUAAAGGUAGCCCCGUACAGGGGCAAUGUUUUGACACUUUUGUAUGUAUUUACAGAACUCAAAUAAAUGGUUGUACUUAA